rnacentral:rRNA from 1 species
CCUACGGGGGACAGCAGUGAGGAAUAUUGGUCAAUGGACGAGAGUCUGAACCAGCCAAGUAGCGUGAAGGAUGACUGCCCUAUGGGUUGUAAACUCCUUUUAUAUGGGAAUAAAACAGGGUAUGCAUACCCUCUUGUAUGUACCAUAUGAAUAAGGAUCGGCUAACUCCGUGCCCGCAGCCGCGGUAAUACGGAGGAUCCGAGCGUUAUCCGGAUUUAGUGGGUUUAAAGGGAGCGUAGGUGGAUUGUUAAGUCAGUUGUGAAAUUUUGCGGCUCAACCGUAAAAUUGCAGUUGAAACUGGCAGUCUUGAGUACAGUAGAGGUGGGCGGAAUUCGUGGUGUAGCGGUGAAAUGCUUAGAGAUCACGAAGAACUCCGAUUGCGAAGGCAGCUCACUGGACUGCAACUGACACUGAUGCUCGAAAGUGUGGGUAUCAAACAGGAUUAGAUACCCGAGUAGUC